rnacentral:rRNA from 1 species
UAACGAUGAAGAGUUUGAUCCUGGCUCAGGAUGAACGCUAGCGGCAGGCCUAAUACAUGCAAGUCGAGGGGUAACAGAAAGUGCUUGCACUUUGCUGACGACCGGCGGACGGGUGAGUAACGCGUAUAUAAUCUGCCUCAUACUAGAGGAUAGCCCGAAGAAAUUUGGAUUAAGACUCUAUAGUAUCAUUUAAAGACAUCUUUUUAUGAUUAAAGGUUACGGUAUGAGAUGAGUAUGCGUUCUAUUAGUUUGUAGGUGAGGUAACGGCUCACCUAGACUACGAUAGAUAGGGGCCCUGAGAGGGGGACCCCCCACACUGGUACUGAGACACGGACCAGACUCCUACGGGAGGCAGCAGUAAGGAAU